CUGCAUACAUGAUAAAUAAAUAAAUCU
rnacentral:piRNA from 1 species